UCUUGGCAGGGUGCAAUGUGGUGUUCGGGAGGGUCCAUUCGCGCCUUGAGCUCUGGUGUCCAAGUCCCCCUGACCGGGGCCAUCGCCCGUUGAGGGUGCAAGGCCUGUUGGGCAGGGCUGUGUCUCCGAUCUCGGCGCGUCGGGUCCCUUCCUUGGAGUCGGGUUGCUUGAGAGUGCAGCCCAAAGUGGGUGGUAAACUCCACCUAAGGCUAAAUACUUUCCACGAGACCGAUAGCAAACAAGUACCGUGAGGGAAAGUUGCAAAGAACUUUGAACAGAGAGUUCAAGAGUGCGUGAAACCGUUCUGAGGUAAACGGGUGGGAGCGCGAAGGUCGAACGGAUGGGGAGGGAUUCAACUUGGCGUGGCGGCUGGCCGAGCUUGGUUCGUGUCUGGGCGUGCGGGCCUCCCUUAACGGGGAGCUGCCUGCCGCCCCGCGUUCCGCUCCGGCCGUAGUCCGCCGUGCCUUGUGCAUUUCCCUAUUCCCCCUCUCCUAAUAGGACGCCGCGACCGGCUGUCGAGGGGAGCCCAGGAUCUGGUCAGAGCAGUUGCACGGACAAGUAAGGGAUCAGUUCUCUGCGUCCGGUCUGUCUGUCUCCUUCCGCCCGCAGGUCGCUCCCUCCGGACAAGGAACUGUGCGAGCUGGGCCCCUGGGGUCCCUCGUCCAUGUG
rnacentral:rRNA from 1 species